rnacentral:rRNA from 1 species
AACGCUAGCUACAGGCUUAACACAUGCAAGUCGAGGGACAGCAUGAUUGAAGCUUGCUUCAAUUGAUGGCGACCGGCGCACGGGUGAGUAACACGUAUCCAACCUUCCGUACACUCAGGGAUAGCCUUUCGAAAGAAAGAUUAAUACCUGAUGGUAUCUUAAGCACACAUGUAAUUAAGAUUAAAGAUUUAUCGGUGUACGAUGGGGAUGCGUUCCAUUAGGUAGUAGGCGGGGUAACGGCCCACCUAGUCGACGAUGGAUAGGGGUUCUGAGAGGAAGGUCCCCCACAUUGGAACUGAGACACGGUCCAAACUCCUACGGGAGGCAGCAGUGAGGAAUAUUGGUCAAUGGGCGCGAGCCUGAACCAGCCAAGUAGCGUGAAGGAUGAAGGUCCUACGGAUUGUAAACUUCUUUUAUAAGGGAAUAAAGUCACCCACGUGUGGGUGUUUGUAUGUACCUUAUGAAUAAGCAUCGGCUAACUCCGUGCCAGCAGCCGCGGUAAUACGGAGGAUGCGAGCGUUAUCCGGAUUUAUUGGGUUUAAAGGGAGCGUAGACGGGUCGUUAAGUCAGCUGUGAAAGUUUGAGGCUCAACCUUAAAAUUGCAGUUGAUACUGGCGUCCUUGAGUACGGUUGAGGCAGGCGGAAUUCGUGGUGUAGCGGUGAAAUGCUUAGAUAUCACGAAGAACUCCGAUUG